UGGGGAAUUUUGGACAAUGGGGGCAACCCUGAUCCAGCCAUGCCGCGUGUGCGAAGAAGGCCUUCGGGUUGUAAAGCACUUUUGUCAGGAACGAAAAGUUUCGCACUAAUACUGCGGGACGAUGACGGUACCUGAAGAAUAAGCACCGGCUAACUACGUGCCAGCAGCCGCGGUAAUACGUAGGGUGCAAGCGUUAAUCGGAAUUACUGGGCGUAAAGCGUGCGCAGGUGGUUGUGUAAGACAGAUGUGAAAUCCCCGGGCUCAACCUGGGAACUGCAUUUGUGACUGCACGGCUAGAGUGUGUCAGAGGGGGGUGGAAUUCCACGUGUAGCAGUGAAAUGCGUAGAUAUGUGGAGGAACACCAAUGGCGAAGGCAGCCCCCUGGGAUAACACUGACGCU
rnacentral:rRNA from 1 species